rnacentral:rRNA from 1 species
UACAGAGGGGGCAAGCGUUGUUCGGAAUUACUGGGCGUAAAGGGCGCGUAGGCGGCCUGCUAAGUCGAACGUGAAAUCCCCGAGCUCAACUCGGGAACUGCGUCCGAUACUGGCAGGCUUGAAUCCGGGAGAGGGAUGCGGAAUUCCAGGUGUAGCGGUGAAAUGCGUAGAUAUCGUAAGGAAGACCAGUGGCGAAGGCGAGUCUCUGGACAGUUGCUGACGCUGAGGCACGAAGGCCAGGGGAGCAAACGGG